GGGGGCGAUCGGUUUCGACGUGGGGACUGAAGGUCAGUUUGCGUGUGGAGGCACCCGACCCUCUUCAAAAUCGGGCCGUACCAAUUGCGAACGACAACGCAAUCGCUCUCGCUGCCUAAGAAACAGUGAAGCCGUCCAACCGAGAGAUAGUUUUGGUAUCGGAAGGGCGUCAUUACUAAAGCUGGGUUCCGCCGAUGCUCUGGGCGGCGGAGCCGAGAAAAUCUGGAGAUAGGCUGGUAGCCGAAUCUACCAAACCCCGCCGCAAGGGUUAGAGCGGCUACGCACGUGAACGAAAGCUGAUUGGACGCCUCGCGGACCCGGGUUCAAUUCCCGGCGCCUCCACUG
rnacentral:tmRNA from 1 species